rnacentral:rRNA from 1 species
UGCGUAGGCGGAAAAUUAAGUCAGUGGUGAAAGCCCGCAGCUCAACUGUGGAACUGCCAUUGAAACUGGUUUUCUUGAAUAUAGCUGAGGCAGGAUGGAAUAUAACAUGUAGCGGUGAAAUGCUUAGAUAUGUUAUAGAACACCGAUUGCGAAGGCAGUCUGCUAAACUAUUAUUGACGCUGAGGCACGAAAGCGUGGGGAGCGAACA